CUGUAUUGUCUUUAUUGACGCUGGGGAUUUUAAUAAGGCUAAUCUGAAAACAAUGAAUGAGCGACCCGGGCUGGCAAAUUUAUGGAUCAUUGUUACUCUAACUUCCGCGACGGAAGCAAAGCCCUCCCUCGCCCUCCUUUCAGAAAAUCUGACCACGACUCCAUUUUUGUUGCUUCCAGCCAGGUCUGCUCAGGUCUGUUCAACGCUGGUCCGACCAAUCUGAUUCCACACUUCAAGAUUGCUUCGAUCACGUGGACAGGGAUAUGUUCCGGAUAGUGUCGGACAAUAACAUUGAUGUAUGUAAUUGCUGAUUCGUCCUGAAAGGCAAAAUUCCAGGUAACCUUGGAGAGGAAGAUAUGCCUUACAAGUUUGCUUCUGAGGAAGAGCUGCAAAACUGCAGAGCUCCAGACCAGUAGCCCUACCAGCCAGCCCUACCGUCUCCCCUGCAGAGCUCCAGACCAUUAGCCCUACCAGCCAGCCCUACCGUCUCCCCAGCAGAGGUCCAGACCAGUAGCCCUACCAGCCAGCCCUACCAUCUCCCCUGCAGAGCUCCAGACCAGUAGCCCUACCAGCCAACCUUACCAUCUCCCCAGCAGAGCUCCAGACCAGUAGCCCUACCAGCCAGCCCUACCGUCUCCCCUGCAGAGGUCCAGACCAGUAGCCCUACCAGCCAGCCCUACCGUCUCCCCAGCAGAGGUCCAGACCAGUAGCCCUACCAGCCAGCCCUACCAUCUCCCCUGCAGAGCUCCAGACCAGUAGCCCUACCAGCCAGCCUUACCAUCUCCCCAGCAGAGCUCCAGACCAGUAGCCCUACCAGCCAGCCCUACCGUCUCCCCAGCAGAGCUCCAGACCAGUAGCCCUACCAGCCAGCCCUACCGUCUCCCCUGCAGAGGUCCAGACCAGUAGCCCUACCAGCCAGCCCUACCGUCUCCCCUGCAGAGGUCCAGACCAGUAGCCCUACCGUCUCCCCUGCAGAGCUCCAGACCAGUAGCCCUACCAGCCAGCCCUACCGUCUCCCCAGCAGAGCUCCAGACCACUAGCUCUACCAUUUUCCCCAGAAUGGCUCUCUCCGGGUCGGGUGGCUUCCUCUCUGAGGAUCAGUUCAUCUGUUCUAUCUGCCUGGAUGUGUUCACCAACCCAGUCUCCACACCCUGUGGUCACAGCUACUGUCUGGACUGCAUCUCCACCUACUGGGAUGGUAUGUAUUGUGGCUUUGUAUAUACGGUAGACUACCUGAAAUAUAAAUGUUUA